UACGGAGGGUGCAAGCGUUAUCCGGAUUCACUGGGUUUAAAGGGUGCGUAGGUGGGUUGGUAAGUCCGUGGUGAAAUCCCCCGAGCUUAACUUGGGAACUGCCAUGGAUACUAUUAAUCUUGAAUGUCGUGGAGAUGAGCGGAAUAUGUCAUGUAGCGGUGAAAUGCUUAGAUAUGACAUAGAACACCCAAUUGCGAAGGCAGCUCGUUACGCGAAUAUUGACACUGAUGCACGAAAGCGUGGGGAUCAAACAGG
rnacentral:rRNA from 1 species